UAUAGGUCGGCUGCAAGGAAGUGCUUCGCGCACGGGCUGAGCACUCUC
rnacentral:ncRNA from 1 species